AGGUGCAUCAGAGAGAUUCCCAUCUAGACUUAAUCAUCAUUAUACUUCUCCCAAAGGAGAAUCUGAUGUCCCUGUCUUUUUAUCAUCACUUGCACACACACUAA
rnacentral:snoRNA from 1 species